rnacentral:rRNA from 1 species
GACGAACGCUGGCGGCGUGCUUAACACAUGCAAGUCGAACGGAAAGGCCCUGCUUUUGUGGGGUGCUCGAGUGGCGAACGGGUGAGUAACACGUGAGUAACCUGCCCUUGACUUUGGGAUAACUUCAGGAAACUGGGGCUAAUACCGGAUAGGAGCUCCUGCUGCAUGGUGGGGGUUGGAAAGUUUCGGCGGUUGGGGAUGGACUCGCGGCUUAUCAGCUUGUUGGUGGGGUAGUGGCUUACCAAGGCUUUGACGGGUAGCCGGCCUGAGAGGGUGACCGGCCACAUUGGGACUGAGAUACGGCCCAGACUCCUACGGGAGGCAGCAGUGGGGAAUAUUGCACAAUGGGCGGAAGCCUGAUGCAGCAACGCCGCGUGCGGGAUGACGGCCUUCGGGUUGUAAACCGCUUUCGCCUGUGACGAAGCGUGAGUGACGGUAAUGGGUAAAGAAGCACCGGCUAACUACGUGCCAGCAGCCACGGUGAUACGUAGGGUGCGAGCGUUGUCCGGAUUUAUUGGGCGUAAAGGGCUCGUAGGUGGUUGAUCGCGUCGGAAGUGUAAUCUUGGGGCUUAACCCUGAGCGUGCUUUCGAUACGGGUUGACUUGAGGAAGGUAGGGGAGAAUGGAAUUCCUGGUGGAGCGGUGGAAUGCGCAGAUAUCAGGAGGAACACCAGUGGCGAAAGCGGUUCUCUGGGCCUUUCCUGGCGCUGAGGAGCGAAAGCGUGGGGAGCGAACAGGCUUAGAUACCCUGGUAGUCCACGCUGUAAACGGUGGGUACUAGGUGUGGGGUCCAUUCCACGGGUUCCGUGCCGUAGCUAACGCUUUAAGUACCCCGCCUGGGGAGUACGGCCGCAAGGCUAAAACUCAAAGGAAUUGACGGGGCCCCGCACAAGCGGCGGAGCAUGCGGAUUAAUUCGAUGCAACGCGUAGAACCUUACCUGGGUUUGACAUGGAUCGGGAGUGCUCAGAGAUGGGUGUGCCUCUUUUGGGGUCGGUUCACAGGUGGUGCAUGGCUGUCGUCAGCUCGUGUCGUGAGAUGUUGGGUUAAGUCCCGCAACGAGCGCAACCCUUGUUCACUGUUGCCAGCACGUUAUGGUGGGGACUCAGUGGAGACCGCCGGGGUCAACUCGGAGGAAGGUGGGGAUGACGUCAAGUCAUCAUGCCCCUUAUGUCCAGGGCUUCACGCAUGCUACAAUGGCUGGUACAGAGAGUGGCGAGCCUGUGAGGGUGAGCGAAUCUCGGAAAGCCGGUCUCAGUUCGGAUUGGGGUCUGCAACUCGACCUCAUGAAGUCGGAGUCGCUAGUAAUCGCAGAUCAGCAACGCUGCGGUGAAUACGUUCCCGGGGCU